rnacentral:rRNA from 1 species
GACAGAGGGUGCAAACGUUGUUCGGAAUUACUGGGCGUAAAGCGCAUGUAGGCGGUCUAGCAGGUCGGAUGUGAAAGCCCUCGGCUCAACCGAGGAAGUGCAUUCGAAACCGCAAGACUCGAGUCCCGGAGAUGGGUGGUGGGAAUUCUCGGUGUAGAGGUGAAAUUCGUAGAUAUCGAGAGGAACACCGGUGGCGAAAGCGGCUACCUGGACGAGGACUGACGCUGAGUGCGAAAGCGUGGGAGCAAACAGGUUAAGAUACCCGGUGU